GUGCUUGUUUUGGCAGCACAUAUGCUAAAUUGGAACAAUAGAAGAUUAGCAUGGCCUGUCUGCACAAGGAUGACAUACAAAUUUGUGAAGUGUUCCGUACUUUA